UAUGUAGGUGGCGAGCGUUGUCCGGAUUUACUGGGCGUAAAGGGAGCGUAGGCGGACUUUUAAGUGAGAUGUGAAAUACCCGAGCUCAACUUGGGUGCUGCAUUUCAAACUGGAAGUCUAGAGUGCAGGAGAGGAGAAUGGAAUUCCUAGUGUAGCGGUGAAAUGCGUAGAGAUUAGGAAGAACACCAGUGGCGAAGGCGAUUCUCUGGACUGUAACUGACGCUGAGGCUCGAAAGCGUGGGGAGCAAACAGGAUUAGAUA
rnacentral:rRNA from 1 species